rnacentral:tRNA from 1 species
GUCCGCGUAGCUCAGCAGGAUAGAGUAACUGCCUCCUAAGCAGUGGGUCGUGCGUUCGAAUCGCAUCGCGGACG